AGCUCUCAGGAAGAGCUACUUAGGGAGAGACUUUCUAGAGAACUGGAGGAAGUCUUGCCUGUAAAGGGUUACAUGCUGCUAGGGAGUCUUAGGGGACUCUGCAUCAGCCUGAAGGUAAAAGUGGUCUAGACUAGAGAAGCAGCAGUAAGUCUAUGGAAGCAGAGCCUGGCUAUUUAAUGCAAGGUCCUUGGCUGGAAUCCAGAGCAGAGGGAGGUUGUGGGUUCCCUUACUGCAUCCCAAAGAAAGAGAGGUAAAAUAAACCCUGACACAAAGCAGGAUAAGGGCUGUUGAGCCUAUGGUGGGGCUGAAGGCCAGAUUUGUUAGACUUCUGUUUUUAUUGGACUCUUUAUUACCCUGGAAUGUGUGGAACUACAAGUGAUCUAGCUGGAGGAAUGAGUUGUGAAAAGGGGUAAGCUGUCCCACACUUGAAUUGUCCAUUAUCAUGGGAUGCCAGAGCUGAAGAAGCUGCUACACCAGGCUUGGCCAUGAUGAGAUGCACUGGCUGGCGAGUGACUCUUCUCCAGUCAUCUACAGUACGCUGUAAGGCACAGAACACACCUAAGAUGCAGUAACAGAAUUGGGGCAUAAGCAACCAAUAAGGUUUUUUAAAGGGUGUAUUGUAAAUGAUGGAGCACUGCAGAGCCACCUUUUUCUCUUCUGAAGAAUGGAGGGAUUGUCAAGAGUGGAUUUUAAUUCUACAAGUCCUGGCAAGCUCUGCUUCUGCAGCCUCACUUCCUACCCUGUCAGUUGUGAUAGAGGGAGAAGAUCCAUUGCUUAAGAUUAUUCUGAGAGGCCUGAAAUGAAAAAGACAGCAUAGGGGAGGAAUUAGGAGUAAAGAAUGGAAUACAGUAGAGAUAGUGGGAGUGAGUGAGGAGUGCAAGACCUGCUACGAUAUUUCAAGUCAGCUCUUCCCCCACUGUUCAAGCUGCUUUUUCCUCUAAAAUAAAUAUUAAAUAAAACACUGCUAAUGGAGGAGCCUAAAUGCUGUCUUUACUUGCUAAGUGCAGGUGCAGAGAGCACUGGCAGGCACACAUAGCAGCUGGUAUUUUGCUAGCUCCAUAUGGGAUUGGCACAUCAAAAUGUUUGAAUUCUGUUCUUAGUUUCAAAUCCAAGAUUUUAGAAUGGGCUUGAAAAUCAAGCUAAGUGAGUUUGACCAUCCUUAACUGCAAGACAGCUUUGCAUAAUCAAGACAGUAAAUCUCUGCUGAAGAAAUGCCUCCAGAUGUACAUGACCAGAGCCAUUGACUGUAAGCAAGAUCUCUGUGUAAAGUAAAUGGAAAAUUGCAAUUCUUUCGUAAACAGUGAAGUCCACUGGAUAAACUUCUGAUUUAUGCCUGGUUCUCUAUUGCUGUCUUUGUAUCUCCCUACCAAUGUCACAAUACAAUUUCAAAUAUAGGUAUAUUUAAUAAACUCAUUUCACAGUGCCCCCAUUUCCCAAUCUCCUGCUAUGUGAACAGCAGAGAAAUGAGGCAGAUGUCAACCUUUCUGGACCUCCUUUCACAUUUAAAGCCAAUGCUAGAUAGGUAGGAUUUACCAAACUAGUAUCUUCUCCAACCAACGUUUUCUCUUGCCUCUGGGAUUACAACAUAUCCAUGAAUCAAAGUGCUAUUAACUAUACUAGUAAUUAAAAAUGGGUGUAGCCAAAAUUAAAUGAAAUCUCUAUUUUGUAGAAUCCAAACACCAGAGCAACUCAAAUAACAUUAUUGCACA